AUUACGGGGCGCAGCAGGCGCGAAAACUUUACAAUGCGGGAAACCGUGAUAAGGGAAUCUCGAGUGCCAGCAUAUAAUGUUGGCUGUCCAGAUGCCUAAAAAGCAUCUGUUAGCAAGGGCCGGGCAAGACCGGUGCCAGCCGCCGCGGUAACACCGGCGGCCCGAGUGGUAACCGCUUUUAUUGGGUCUAAAGGGUCUGUAGCCGGCCAAGUAAGUCCCUUGGGAAAUCUGGCAGCUUAACUGUCAGGCUGCUAGGGGAUACUGCUAGGCUUGGGACCGGGAGAGGUGAGAGGUACCUUGGGGGUAGGGGUGAAAUCUUGUGAUCCUCGGGGGACCACCAGUGGCGAAGGCGUCUCACCAGAACGGGUCCGACGGUAAGGGACGAAGCUAGGGGCACGAACCGGAUUAGAUACCCGGGUAGUCCUAGCCGUAAACGAUGCUCGCUAGGUGUCGGCCACGGUGCGACCGUUGUCGGUGCCGUAGGGAAGCCGUGAAGCGAGCCACCUGGGAAGUACGGCCGCAAGGCUGAAACUUAAAGGAAUUGGCGGGGGAGCACAAU
rnacentral:rRNA from 1 species